ACAUUGGUAGUUCAGUGGUAGAAUUCUCGCCUUUUAUGCUGGAGACCUGAGUUCGAUUCCCAGCCAAUGCA
rfam:Loxodonta africana unplaced genomic scaffold scaffold_12, whole genome shotgun sequence.